AGCGAACGCUGGCGGCAGGCCUAACGCAUGCAAGUCGAACGCACCGCAAGGUGAGUGGCAGACGGGUGAGUAACGCGUGGGAACGUACCCUUCGGUUCGGAAUAACCCGGGGAAACUCGGGCUAAUACCGGAUACGUCCGUGAGGAGAAAGAUUUAUCGCCGAAGGAUCGGCCCGCGUUGGAUUAGCUAGUUGGUGAGGUAACGGCUCACCAAGGCGAUGAUCCAUAGCUGGUCUGAGAGGACGAUCAGCCACACUGGGACUGAGACACGGCCCAGACUCCUACGGGAGGCAGCAGUGGGGAAUAUUGGACAAUGGGCGCAAGCCUGAUCCAGCCAUGCCGCGUGAGUGAUGAAGGCCCCUAGGGUUGUAAAGCUCUUUUACCAGGGACGAUAAUGACUGUACCUGGAGAAUAAGCCCCGGCUAACUUCGUGCCAGCAGCCGCGGUAAUACGAAGGGGGUCUAGCGUUGCUCGGAAUCACUGGGCGUAAAGCGCACGUAGGUGGGUCGCUGAGUCGGGGUGAAAUCCUGGAGCUCAACUCCAGAACUGCCUUCGAUACUGGCGAUCUUCGAGUCCGGGAGAGGUGGGUGGAACUGCGAGUGUAGAGGUGAAAUUCGUAGACAUUCGCAAGAACACCAGUGGCGAAGGCGGCUCACUGGCCCGGUACUGACACUGAGGUGCGAAAGCGU
rnacentral:rRNA from 1 species